GAUGAACGCUGGCGGCGUGCCUAAUACAUGCAAGUCGAGCGAACAGAUGAGGAGCUUGCUCCUCUGACGUUAGCGGCGGACGGGUGAGUAACACGUGGAUAACCUACCUAUAAGACUGGGAUAACUUCGGGAAACCGGAGCUAAUACCGGAUAAUAUAUUGAACCGCAUGGUUCAAUAGUGAAAGACGGUUUUGCUGUCACUUAUAGAUGGAUCCGCGCCGCAUUAGCUAGUUGGUAAGGUAACGGCUUACCAAGGCAACGAUGCGUAGCCGACCUGAGAGGGGGACCGGCAAACUGGGAACUGAGAAACGUUCAAGACUCCUACGGGAGGCAGCAGAAGGAAUCUUCCGCAAUGGGCGAAAGCCUGACGGAGCAACGCCGCGUGAGUGAUGAAGGUCUUCGGAUCGUAAAACUCUGUUAUUAGGGAAGAACAAAUGUGUAAGUAACUAUGCACGUCUUGACGGUACCUAAUCAGAAAGCCACGGCUAACUACGUG
rnacentral:rRNA from 1 species